rnacentral:rRNA from 1 species
UUCCGGUUGAUCCUGCCGGACCCGACUGCUAUCAGAGUGGGACUAAGCCAUGCGAGUCGACGUAGCAAUGCGUGGCGAACGGCUCAGUAACACGUAGUCAACAUGCCCAGGGGACGUGGAUAACCUCGGGAAACUGAGAAUAAACCACGAUAGGUCACGAUUUCUGGAAUGGAUCAUGGCAUAAAUCUACAUGGCCCCUGGAUUGGACUGCGGCCGAUCAGGCAGUUGGUGAGGUAAUGGCCCACCAAACCUAUAACCGGUACGGGCUCUGAGAGGAGAAGCCCGGAGAUGGGCACUGAGACAAGGGCCCAGGCCCUAUGGGGCGCAGCAGGCGCGAAACCUCUGCAAUAGGCGAAGGCCUGACAGGGUUACUCUGAGUGAUUUCCGCUAGGGGGAUCUUUUGGCACCUCUAAAAAUGGUGCAGAAUAAGGGGUGGGCAAGUCUGGUGUCAGCCGCCGCGGUAAUACCAGCACCCCGAGUGGUCGGGACGAUUAUUGGGCCUAAAGCAUCCGUAGCCGGUUCUGCAAGUCUUCCGUUAAAUCCAGCCGCUCAACGGAUGGGCCGCGGAGGAUACUAUAGGACUAGGAGGCGGGAGAGGCAAGCGGUACUCAGUGGGUAGGGGUAAAAUCCUUUGUUCCAUUGAAGACCACCAGUGGCGAAGGCGGCUUGCCAGAACGCGCUCGACGGUGAGGGAUGAAAGCUGGGGGAGCAAACCGGAUUAGAUACCCGGGUAGUCCCAG